rnacentral:rRNA from 1 species
GACGAACGCUGGCGGCGUGCUUAACACAUGCAAGUCGAACGGAAAGGCCCCUUUGGGGGUACUCGAGUGGCGAACGGGUGAGUAACACGUGAGUAACCUGCCCUUGACUUCGGGAUAACUUCAGGAAACUGGGGCUAAUACCGGAUAGGAAUCCUUGCUGCAUGGUGGGGGUUGGAAAGCUUCGGCGGUUUUGGAUGGACUCGCGGCUUAUCAGCUUGUUGGUGGGGUAGUGGCUUACCAAGGCUUUGACGGGUAGCCGGCCUGAGAGGGCGACCGGCCACAUUGGGACUGAGAUACGGCCCAGACUCCUACGGGAGGCAGCAGUGGGGAAUAUUGCACAAUGGGCGGAAGCCUGAUGCAGCAACGCCGCGUGCGGGAGGACGGCCUUCGGGUUGUAAACCGCUCUCAGCAGGGGCGAAGCUUGUGGUGACGGUACCUGCAGAAGAAGCACCGGCUAACUACGUG